rnacentral:rRNA from 1 species
AACGAACGCUGGCGGCAGGCCUAACACAUGCAAGUCGAACGCUGUAGCAAUACAGAGUGGCAGACGGGUGAGUAACGCGUGGGAACCUACCCUUUGGUUCGGAAUAGCUCAGGGAAACUUGAGGUAAUACCGGAUAAGCCCUUCGGGGGAAAGACUUAUCGCCAAAGGAUGGGCCCGCGUCGGAUUAGCUAGUUGGUGGGGUAACGGCCUACCAAGGCGACGAUCCGUAGCUGGUCUGAGAGGAUGAGCAGCCACACUGGGACUGAGACACGGCCCAGACUCCUACGGGAGGCAGCAGUGGGGAAUAUUGGACAAUGGGGGCAACCCUGAUCCAGCCAUGCCGCGUGAGUGACGAAGGUCUUCGGAUUGUAAAGCUCUUUUGGCGGGGAAGAUAAUGACGGUACCCGCAGAAUAAGCCCCGGCUAACUUCGUGCCAGCCGCCGCGGUAA